rnacentral:rRNA from 1 species
ACGGGGUGCAGCAGGCGCGAAAACUUCACACUGGGGGCAACCCCGAUGAGGGAAUUCCUAGUGCCAGGGCUUUUUGUCCUGGCUUUUCUCCAGCGUAGAUUACUGGAGGAAUAAGGGCUGGGUAAGACGGGUGCCAUCCGCCGCGGUAAUACCUGCAGCCCAAGUGGUGGUCGAUUUCAUCGAGUCUAAAACGUUCGUAGCCGGUUUGGUAAAUCUUUGGGUAAAUCGGGAAGCUUAACUUUCCGACUUCCGAAGAGACUGUCAAACUUGGGACCGGGAGAGGCUAGAGGUACUUCUGGGGUAGGGGUAAAAUCCUUGUAAUCCUACAAGGACCACCGGUGGCGAAGGCGUCUAGCUAGAACGGAUCCGACGGUGAGGGACGAAGCCCUGGGUCGCAAACGGGAUUUAGAUACCCCGGUAGUCUAGGGUGUAAACGCUGCAGACUAGGUGUUGGAGGGCCCUACGGCGGGCACCCCAGGUGCCCGACAGAAGUUGUUAAGUUCCUGGUUACUUGGGGAGUACGUCCGGCCAGGAUGAAACUUGAAGGGAAUUGUGCGGGGGGAGCAC